rnacentral:tRNA from 1 species
GCUGCCGUGGCGCAAUGGUAGACGCGGGUGAUUCCCGAUCAUCUGGGCGAAAGCUCUUGGGGGUUCGACUCCCCUCGGCAGUA